AGGAUCAGUAAAGCUAAAACCCAAUGGAGAGAAUGACAAAGACCUGCAAACAUCUGGGAGUAUCUGGACCUACCAUAAUACAUGCAGACACAGAACCUUUGACAGCUGCCCACCUGCACAAAUCUCUCUCACCUUAGUAUGUCUGCAACCUCAUCAACAAUAACACAACACAGAGAAGCACAGAAAGAGAGCUGUGCAAUCAUCUGGGAAGACUGGGACCUGCCAAACACAAGCAGACACAAAACCUCUGUCUGCCCACUACCUGUGCUGCCCUGUAGCUGAUCUAUUUUCAACCAAGUGAAUCUGCCAACGCACCAGGAUCAGUAAAGCUUAAAGA